rnacentral:tRNA from 1 species
GGAGUGGCCCAGCGGUAGGGCGCAUGAUUAGCAUGCAGGUGGUCUCAAGUUCAAUUCCUGGCAUUGCCA